rnacentral:rRNA from 1 species
GUCCACGCCCUAAACUAUGUCAACUAGUUGUCGGGUCUUAAUAGGCUUGGUAACGUAGCUAACGCGUGAAGUUGACCGCCUGGGGAGUACGGUCGCAAGAUUAAAACUCAAAGGAAUUGACGGGGACCCGCACAAGCGGUGGAUUAUGUGGAUUAAUUCGAUGCAACGCGAAAACCUUACCUACCCUUGACAUGUCAGAAAGUUUUCAGAGAUGAAUUCGUGUCCGAAAGGAAUUUGAACACAGGUGCUGCAUGGCUGUCGU